UGCCGGAUAGAUUAAUGGUAAAUCGUCGCGCUCUGGACGCGAAGAUUCUAGGUUCGAGUCCUAGUCCGGCAG
rnacentral:tRNA from 1 species